rnacentral:rRNA from 1 species
CUUCGGACUUUGAGACCGGCGCACGGGUGCGUAACGCGUAUGCAAUCUACCUUUUACAGAGGGAUAGCCCAGAGAAAUUUGGAUUAAUACCUCAUAGUAUAUAGCCCUGGCAUCAGGAUUAUAUUAAAGUCACAACGGUAAAAGAUGAGCAUGCGUCCCAUUAGCUAGUUGGUAAGGUAACGGCUUACCAAGGCUACGAUGGGUAGGGGUCCUGAGAGGGAGAUCCCCCACACUGGUACUGAGACACGGACCAGACUCCUACGGGAGGCAGCAGUGAGGAAUAUUGGACAAUGGGCGCAAGCCUGAUCCAGCCAUGCCGCGUGCAGGAUGACGGUCCUAUGGAUUGUAAACUGCUUUUAUACGAGAAGAAACAUCCCGACGUGUCGGGACUUGACGGUAUCGUAAGAAUAAGGAUCGGCUAACUCCGUGCCAGCAGCCGCGGUAAUACGGAGGAUCCAAGCGUUAUCCGGAAUCAUUGGGUUUAAAGGGUCCGUAGGCGGUUUAAUAAGUCAGUGGUGAAAGCCCAUCGCUCAACGGUGGAACGGCCAUUGAUACUGUUAGACUUGAAUUAUUAGGAAGUAACUAGAAUAUGUAGUGUAGCGGUGAAAUGCUUAGAGAUUACAUGGAAUACCAAUUGCGAAGGCAGGUUACUACUAAUUGAUUGACGCUGAUGGACGAAAGCGUGGGUAGCGAACAGGAUUAGAUACCCUG